UACGUAGGUGACCAGCGUUGUCCGGAUUUACUGGGCGUAAAGAGCGCGCAGGCGGUCGUUCAAGUCGAGUGUGAAAGCCCCCGGCUCAACUGGGGAGGGUCAUUCGAUACUGAUCGACUGGAAGGCAGGAGAGGGAAGCGGAAUUCCCGGUGUAGUGGUGAAAUGCGUAGAUAUCUGGAGGAAUACCGGUGGCGAAGGCGGCAUCCUGGACCGGCAUUGACGCUGAGGCGCGAAAGCCAGGGGAGCAAACGGG
rnacentral:rRNA from 1 species